rnacentral:rRNA from 1 species
UAGUCCACGCCGUAAACGAUGAGUGCUAGCUGUCGGGACAUUAGUCUCGGUGGCGCAGCUAACGCAGUAAGCACUCCGCCUAGGAAGUACGGUCGCAAGAUUAAAACUCAAAGGAAUUGACGGGGACCCGCACAAGCGGUGGAGCAUGUGGUUUAAUUCGAGGCAACGCGAAGAACCUUACCAGGACUUGACAUCCUUAUCGCGCGCACCAGAGAUGGAGCGUUUCAGUUCGGCUGGAUAAGUGACAGGUGCUGCACGGCUGUCGUCAGCUCGUGUCGUGAGAUGUUGGGUUAAGCCCCGCAACGAGCGCAACCCUCGUCCUUAGUUGCCAUCAUUUAGUUGGGCACUUUAAGGAAACUGCCGGUGAUAAGCCGGAGGAAGGUGGGGAUGACGUCAAGUCCUCAUGGGCCCUUACAGGGCUGGGGCUACACACGUGCUACAAUGGCAUCUACAGUGAGCAGCGAUCCCG